UACGUAGGUGUCGAGCGUUGUCCGGAUUUAUUGGGCGUAAAGCGCCCGCAGGCGGCUUGGCAAGUUUGAGGUGAAAUCUCCCGGCUCAACUGGGAGGGUGCCUCGAAAACUGCCAGGCUUGAGUCAUGGAGAGGGAUGUGGAAUUCCAGGUGUAGUGGUGAAAUGCGCAGAUAUCAGGAGGAACACCCGUGGCGAAAGCGGCUCUCUGGGACGGUACUGACGCUGAGACGCGAAAGCGUGGGGAGCAAACAGG
rnacentral:rRNA from 1 species